CCGGCCCAGACACCACAUGGCAACCGCCGCUAGUCUCAAACAAACUCCGUGCCAACAGUGAACACACAGUCUGCCGAGUGAUAACUGCUUACCGCACUUCAUCUCUGCUUCCAAACGAGUCUCUCGGCGACCGUUUCACAUUUCACGUGACAGAAAAGCAACAAAUCGAUUGCAGUGUCUCGGUGGAAAUCACGUUCUGGCUAGGACCGAUACUGUAAGUGUGGUGUUGGGUUGGUGCCAGCAUUGCGGGUAUCGUUAGGGAAUAUAUAAACAUAACUGCGAGGGUGAAGAAAAAACAAGAAUCUUUGGAGUUGGUAUUGUUCGCCGGAUAUUUGCGUGGUAAAUUAUUGUGAGCCUUCCGGUCUGUGAAAGGAAAGAGCGUACAGAAGGAGCGGCUGGUGACGCGAUGUCGCGGUAGGAUCGAAAGUCUGCCCGCUUCUAAUGAGGACUGGGAGCCGCGGCCGGUGAAAGUCAAGUUCCCGCAGCAACAGCUGGCCCGGUCCUGCCGACAGAACAGCUCCGAGAUGGUCCGUGGCCUUCGCCAGGGAACUGGGUCGCCCGGCAUGUGGUGCUACCUUCGUCGCUUACAUACAAGGAGCCGCGGGGCCAGCGCAGCGGCGUGCGUCGCGGCGCUGCUGGUGCUGGUGGCGCUGUCUGCGGCACAGGCGGCGGCCCCGCUGCGAACCCCGG